GACUCGGUGCGCGAACCGGAAUAGCGGUCAGGUCGAGAGCCUGAUGUGUGUGGGUUCGACUCCCACCCGAGUCA
rnacentral:tRNA from 1 species